rnacentral:rRNA from 1 species
GAUGAACGCUGGCGGUAUGCUUAACACAUGCAAGUCGAACGGACUCUUCGGAGUUAGUGGCGGACGGGUGAGUAACGCGUGAGAAUCUGGCUUUGGGUUCGGGACAACCACUGGAAACGGUGGCUAAUACCGGAUGUGCCGAGAGGUAAAAGAGAAAUUGCCUGAAGAUGAGCUCGCGUCUGAUUAGCUAGUUGGUGAGGUAAAGGCUCACCAAGGCAGCGAUCAGUAGCUGGUCUGAGAGGAUGACCAGCCACGCUGGGACUGAGACACGGCCCAGACUCCUACGGGAGGCAGCAGUGGGGAAUUUUCCGGCAUGGGCGAGAGCCUGACGGAGCAAUACCGCGUGAGAGAAGAAGGCUCUUGGGUUGUAAACCUCUUUUCUUAGGGAAGAACAAAAUGACGGUACCUAAGGAAUCAGCAUCGGCUAACUCCGUG